UUGUCUAUGAUACGCUAGGAUUCACUGAAACUGAGUAAUACAUUAGAUUAUUGCAAAGCAAGACUCACAAACACGAAACUUGAAGGCAAAGCAAAUUCAUAAAACACGAAACUUGCAAACACUUUAAUUGCACUGCUUCUAAAAAGCAUGUUUCAUUUAUGGGCCGUGGACUACGUACCAAACGGUCCGCCUCAUCUCUCUCUCUCUCCCCGGCCCUCCUCCUAAAUAGGCCGCCCUAUAUAAACCCUUUAUUGUUGUCUGUGAUCUUUGUAGGGUUUUUGAGUAUAACACGGCGACCAUGGAGAAGAGCGAGAGCGGCAACGUCGAGAGUAUGCAGAUCUUCUCGUCCUGUGGAAUCCAAAUCUUUCUCGACCUCCUUCCCGAAAUGCCUGAGGAAAGUUUUGCCGGAACGUUGGCCAGCAAUGGCGUCUUGUUUAGAAUUGCAUGGCAUUUCAUGCACUCUGGAUCCGGUCAAGUGUUCAAUGACAGUCUCUACAACCAGAGAUACUAGUGACCCAGAUAUUUUUUUCAAGGUUAGGGACAUUGUUCAACUUAUGUCAAG